UCGGUUUUUGCAGCUUCUGGUUCCCGUGUAGAACGAUUUUUUGUUCUUUUCCAACUCGAUUUUUAACUCCCUAAACUAGUAGGAUGUUCCAACGGGUGAAGCAACAGUGCUGACGGCAGUUUCAGUGUCAAGUUUUCAUGCCAUGACCACUGGGACGGAAACCAUUAUGACAUUGCCUUGGACAUCAAACUAAACCAUCUCAUUCUGGCUUUUGAGGUGGAUUCUAACCUCGAAAUCUCAGAAGGACAGGUCUAAGAUGGACGCAGCCUCCAUAGGAUGCAACCUUGCAUUUGAGAAACACCCAUAGAACGGUCAACUUACCCCAUACUCUAACCUGAAUGCAGGGAUCAUAAAACUUUAUCUUUUACCUUAAUUGUUAGAUGGGUGUUGAUACCAAACUUUUUUUCUCGUCUACCCAGGAGAAAGUCAUGGUGUUCUGCUGCUAAGGUUGUCAUAAACGUCUUUUAUUCUGCUUACCUGACUCAUGCAGAAUUCUGGCUUGAUGUUUGGUCCACCUGUUAGCUGGCUCUGGUGAUUGGUAGUCUUCUCAAACCUCUGAAUCAAGACCUUCUGAAGACCAUCAUUACGCUUCAGAUCCAGUUGUCUUUACUUUGAGCCUACCACAAUCCCUGUGCACCAGGUAUGGAAAGUGCAGACCAAACUUCUACCUCCACCUAUAGAACUGAACUGGAGUCUAUGAACUAAUGCUGUGUUCGAGACAACUUGGAUGUUGGAUAUUAUUGACCUUAAACCCGUAAGAAGUCAGGAACAGGAAACAAAGUGGAAUAUCCGACCUCUCAACUUGGACCAGAUCGAUCAACACCGACCUCAACGAGAUGCGUCAUUUGACAUUGCAGACAAGAUCCUUUCUCUUUUUAAUGCAGCACUUAAGGAUGAACCACCCUGAUCUACUAAGAUGCACAGAUUCAACUCUGGCCCAGCAUCAUCCCCAUACCUCAUCUGCCAUCAGUUCAAUUUAAUGUCUGUCAAUUGCAAAUGGUAUUUAUUUCAGUUAUAUUACAACUUAAUAUUAAAGGAAUAGUCUACCCUUUUGCCAUAUUAAACUAUGUUAUUACCUCAACCUAGAUGAAUUAAUACAUACCUAUCUUUUUUCAAUGCGUGCACCUGUGGGAUUUGAUUUUGUUUUAUUAAUCGUGCUGCUUAUAAUCUUAAUUAAUGUGUAUUGUUACAACAAUGUUUUCUGUGAUGACCACAAGAAAGUUGUCUGUGUGUGUGGAAAGUUACCAAGGAGGGGGUGGCUGAUAUGUGUGUGGGAGCCAGGGGGGCUAUAGAAAAAGCCCUGGAGGGAAAACACACAGAACAGAUGGUUUCAAUAAACAAGUUGUUUGCUUUAUAAUUAUGUUAUAUUUAGAGAAAGUGAAAAGUAGUAUGUUUAACUAAUGAAUGCAUUUAACCAAUUCAUGAACAAUGGAGUAUUGUUGUGUUGUUGAAUAAUUAUGUUUUAUAUAUUUACUGCUUACAUUUCAUGAUGAUUGCCAAACGUGUUAAAGUUACAAAGAUGUCCAAAUAAGGACUGUGGAAAUUGAUUUUGUUCCAUUUUAUAUUUCUUUAAUUAAUCAUUUUAUUCUACAAACACUGUGUGUUUCAUAUAUGCAUUGAGCUAUUAAUGGGGUGUUUGAGUUUGAGAGUGAAAAGCUACCAGCUUGGGUGUGUGUGUAAAAAUGCAAGAAGAAUUAACUAGGAAUGUAUGUCUGGAAAUUGUCAAAGAUAAGAAAGAGACCAGAGUGGGAAAAGUAAACAGAUAACCAUGUAUUAACCAAUGCUUUAAUAUUCAUAGGAUAAAAUAUGCAAUAUAUUUCUUACUUAAUCAGUAUUAAUCAUUGAAUAAUUGAUGUAAUAAAUAUAAGAUGUUGUCUUUGAUAAAUGUGUAUUAACCAAUGAAAUGAAGGUUGCAUACAGAGUGGCCUAGUGGGGGGAUGGCGGCUCAACUUGGAAGAACAGAAUCUCCUGCGCUUGUUCUUUGUGUGUGUGUUUUCUUCCCUAACAGAUGUUUUUUUUUUUUGAAUAAUGAUUAAAGUGUUUUGCUUAGAAGUAGUAUUGCAGUAAAAGAUGUAAUAUGUGUUUAUCUAUCUAAAGAAGUUAAUGUGUGCCUUAUUCAUAUAACCAAUUUUACGAAUAAUGAAAUGAUGUCAUGAUAUUGAAAUGUGUUUUACAUAAUAAUCACUUUCAUCUUACAGCUUAUGUUUUUAUGAAUAAAUGAAUGUUUCAUUAAUGAUUUGUUUUUAAGAAAGCAUUAUAAUAUGCUAUCUGAAGUCAAUCAUAUGUGAAGUGGAGGAGUACUGGGGAGAAGGUGACGGGCUGCAUGGCCCUCAGGGAUGAGCGGAGAAAAGUUUGUUUUUUCUUUGUAUGUGUGUGUCUAUCUCCUGCAGACUAAAACUGGGUGUGGUAAUGGAGUCAGAUGUACGAGGGGAAUGGCCUUUGUGGGUGGAGAUUCUAAGAAGAAGAUCGACGUCACAUACUUUAUAAAUAACUGUUUUCUCCAAAUGCUGGCUGUUAGUCGACUGCCUAUUGUGGCCUUGAGACUGCCCAGCGCUGUAAAACUUUUUCAUAUCUGAUCAAUAAAUAGUUUAAUUUUAAUACCGUGCCUUUCCUCUAAUUAUGAACAUGCAGAUGGACGCCUUAAAGUCCAACAACUGGUGACCCCUGACGUUUUGUGGAGGGAAAGGAGAGAGUGAGCGGAAGGAGGGUUUCACAUUGAAGAAACCAGAGUAAGCGAGGAUUCCCUUUCAACACAAAAAGAGCGCUCUAUUAAAAUAAGGUAAGCAGAAGCCUGUUUUAUCGAAUUCUGCUAAUUGGAUAUACCAAAUUACUUGUGUUGAUAAGGAGAUCCGAACUGAAUUACAAAUUUAAAUUUUUUAUAAAUUGAUCAGAGUGAAAAACUUUUUGAAAUUUUUGAAUUUUGUUAUUAAAUAAAAGGUUGAGGAGUCCUUUAACGCAUUAGGCGUUAUAAAAUAACAACUCAGGUUGUAGCCUGUAAGGGGUGAAAGGCCCGUUGGAUGAAAGGUCCAAGAAUACUGUUAAUGGCGGUGUAAGUUAACAGAAUUAAUUAAAAAGGUUGAGGAUUCCUUUAACACAUUAGGUGUUAUAAAAUACCAACUCAGGUUGUAGCCUGUAAGGGGUGAAAGGCCCGUUGGAUGAAAGGUCCAAGAAUACUGUUAAUGGCGGUGUAAGUUAACAGAAUUAAUUAAAAAGGUUGAGGAUUCCUUUAACACAUUAGGUGUUAUAAAAUACCAACUCAGGUUGUAGCCUGUAAGGGGUGAAAGGCCCGUUGGAUGAAAGGUCCAAGAAUACUGUUAAUGGCGGUGUAAGUUAACAGAAUUAAUUAAAAAGGUUGAGGAUUCCUUUAACACAUUAGGUGUUAUAAAAUACCAACUCAGGUUGUAGCCUGUAAGGGGUGAAAGGCCCGUUGGAUGAAAGGUCCAAGAAUACUGUUAAUGGCGGUGUAAGUUAACAGAAUUAAUUAAAAAGGUUGAGGAUUCCUUUAAUACAUUAGGUAUUAUAAAAUACCGACUCAGGUUGUAUAGCCUGUAGGGGGUGUACAGCAGCCCGUGGAUGUAAGGUCCACGAAUACUGGAAAGAAGAAGUGACGUCUUAAUGUGAAUAGUAUUGUUGAUAUAUUGUUGUUAUUUUUGUGACAUUUCUGUGAAAGUUGUAUUGUGUUUGUAUUGCGGGUGAAACUCCUGAAAACUACUGGUGUAUAUAUCCUUUUGUUAGAUAAGAGUGACGUUUUGUGCUUUUUUUUGAAAUUUUGAAUGCUUGUAAAUUGUGUGAAAAUGGCUAAAUAAAAAAAUGUGAUGAGUAUGGUUGCCUAACAGUGUAUGUGCAAUGGAAAAAGGGCAAGUAGUUUGGAAAGGGACCAACUGUAAAAGACUUAGAAACAGAUUUGAGAAUUUGGACGAGAUUAGCUCUGGUUGCUGCUGCCAUGCAGGCUAUUAAAUCAAAGAAAAGUGUUGACAGUUGUGCUGUGAGCAAGUAAAAGGACAAGGAAACACUGAGCCAGUACCCUCAGCCCCACCCAUGGCUCCUCCUCAAGUGAAGUCACUAUACCCCUCACUGCACACACCUCCUCCUUAUGAGGAAAAGUCUGUUUCGAUCUCAAAGCAACAGCCGGUGUUAACAGUAAACAGUGGUGAACUAGAUGUUGAAUUUGAUGAAAUAAAGGCCCUAAAAAGAAAAAUGGAAAGAUUACAACAAACAAUUAUGACACAGGGAGAGAUAAUCACAACUCUAUUAAGAUUACAGAGAAAUAGAAAUGAUAGCAACAUGGGAAAGAGAUCUUGUGUAUUACACAGACAGGGCCAUAAACAAAUCACACAAACAGAACUAGUAGAGGUAGAUAAGAAUAAGAAUAAGCUUUUGAAACUGCAGCUAGAACAGACUAAACAGGCAAACACAAAAAAGAAACAAAUGCCCCAGCAGGCCCAACCAACACCAGUAGCUAUGACAACUAGUGUCCCGGACAACGUACAAUAUCCCAAUCAGCCCAUAGAUUCAUAUAAAGGCCCACCCUAUACAGGAAAGCCGUUGGAGGGAUAUAACCAACAGAGAAGGGGAGGGCCAAGAAGGAGUAGUACACCAAAACAGGGAGGUUUUGUCAGGAAUACAUGUUAUGUGUGCGGACAAGAAGGUCAUUGGGCCAGAAGAUGCCCUCAAAAUGGGUCACAGCCCCAAUAUUCCGGUGUAAGGUAUCCACUUAACGCACCAAAUGCAAGGGGAUGGGGUCCCAAUAGAGGAGGUGGCGGGCGUGGAAAUGGUGGUUUUGCCAGGGGACCAUCAGCGCCACACAACCCAUCACAACCAGAUUUAAUGGCGCCUAUGCACCCAACAUGGGGCCAAAGGGAGUGAUGCGGAUGAAUAAGGGGGCACACAGGAACCCACCAUGAAAGGAAUGGCUGGACCUCUCAUGGACCAUUAAGAGCCCUAGUGGAUAAUGGGCCUAAAUAGUCCACCCUAAAAAAAAAAAAAAAGUUUCAACAACGGUGGAGACAAUGGGUUUCUGGUAAAAUUGAAAAGUGACUAUCAACAAAUUACUACCCUACAAGGUAGCAAACCAGUCUAGUUUGCACACAUUUCUGUAUUCCUCCAACACAAUAGUUAAUAAUAGAUAGGGACCUAGAAAUUACAAUGACCUGUCAAUGUUGUAAUGUGCCCCCGGACGGACGGGGCACAAAUGAAUGGCUAAUUAAACUAUGGAGAGAUAAAGCCUUAUGUCUGAUCCAGGACCAGAGACUUAUGUUAUUUUUUAUUUUUUUGGAGCCUUAUAAACAACAACCAAUAGAUAAUAAGGUAUGUACCAAUAUAUAAAACGGUGUCUUAGAUAAAGUUUACCAAAAAUCCUGGCCAGCCGAACCUGAAAUUAUGUCCAUGAGGGUGUAAACAUGACUGAUCUAAUCACUGAGGGUGAGCCAUAUAACUGCAUACCAUUGACUAAAAAAAAAAAAAAAAAAAAAAAAAAAAGCAAACAAAUUGAGAGAUGGUUUGUUCGCGGUACCACUGACAACUCCCCCACCGGUAAUCACGUUAUUUAUGGAUGGCUUUGUUUUAGAGCAUCAGAUGGUAUGGUAAAGGCAGGGUUUGCUGUGGUUGACCAGGUUGAGGGUGAUUUUGUGACUAGAGUGAGUGGUAAAUUGGAGGGUAAGCAGUCAGCACAGACAGCUGAAAUGAUAGCUGUUAUCAAAGCCUUGCACUACACUGGUGAAGAGAGGGUGAUUAUUUAUAGUGACUAUGAAUAUGUGAUUGGUGCAGUAUAUAUGGAACUGCCAUAUGGCAGAUAGGUGGGUUAGAAACCAGGAAAGGCCGGCCUAUAAUAAAUAAAUGUUAGCGAAGCCUGACACAUAAUACAGGCUGUGAAGGUACCUAAUGAAGUGGUUGUUGUCAACUGCCUAAUAAACCACUUAUAUCCCCAACCAUGGUUUCCCAAGACAAAGUUAGAUCUGACAAACUGACAAACACGCACUGGAAUUGACAUAUAGUUUCGGGGCUGCUUAUCACCCCAAUGACAGAGCAAAGCUGAAAUAAUGAACCUGACUUUGACAUUAAAACUUGACUUGACAACAUCUGUGCACAGACAAAAAUAACAUGGCUUGAGGCAUUACCAAUUGCAUUAAUGUCUAUUCGCUCUUCUGUUAACAGGAUUUCUGGUUUCACAUCCUUUGAAUUGCUUACAGGUCGACAGUUUCCAGGCCCACGGAACGCCUUGGUGUAGGAUCCAAUCCUGCCACUAACUAAUGAUGUUUAUUUCUACAAACUAACUGCUAUGAUUAAACAUUUUUCCUGCCAGGCUACACGACACCGGGACAAAGACUAAGCUGUUACAAAUGAUGAUUGAGUGAAAGUGAAGGUGUUCAGACGGUGCUGGGCCGAACCGAGACGGUCCAGGCCACCGAGAGUAAAAGCAAAAACCUAACAUUGUGUUCAGCUACAGGGCAAAGGCGACACUUGGUUCCAUCUCUUUUCUUGUGUUAAAUGUGAUUAUCCCAGCAGGUCUCUUACAGAAACCGGUGUGGACCUGAGGACUCAGGUCCAAGAGAGGGAGAGUGUUGAAAGUGAAAGUGAAAGUAAAUCAGCUGGAAUACAGAGAGAACAAACAGGGGGUAACACUCGCACAAUACCAACAAUAAAGUCAACAAACACUCUGUAAAAUUGUGCAUAAAAAAGGUGACAUUUUUUCCAGCCCAGCAACAGAACCCCUCGCACACUGUGUGAGUGCAGAUUGUGCCUACGGAGCAGGUAUAGCCGUACAAUUCAAAGCGAAGUACGGUACACAAAAGGUUGUAAGACAGAACAAACACACAGGUGAAUGUGCAGUUACCCAUGAGGACGACGGCAGAUUGAUUUUUCAUUUAAUAACAAAACAAAAUUGUACUGAUUUACCAACAUAUGAGAAUUUUACCAACAGCUGGGGUGUGGGUUAGAUAAAUUGGACUUCCAUAAGGUGGUGGAAAUCCUGACAGAAGUGUUCAGGGACCUGAACAUCACAAUUACUGUUUAUUUAUUAUAACCUGGGUAGCUACAUAUCAUAUUGACCUUUGAAUUUCUUAAGUUUCUUAUAUAAUCUUACAUUUCAAUCUAAUUUUUAAGUUUCUUAUACAAUUCUACAGUAUUAAUUUUACAUUUAAUUUUUUUUGAAUUUAUGAUUGUUUUUUGAGUAUUUGCCAAUAGGCAUAAGUGUAUUUUUCCAAAGAGAUGAAGCUAUAUGGAGAUUGGAAGGUUCUGUGGGCCCUAGGGGUUAUGACUGCAAUUAUAAUUACCAUAAUAUUUAGCAUAAACAAUGAAGGUAAUCUGAAAAUUGACAAAAUGUCCAAAACUGCAUCACAAGAUUAGUGUGUAAAGAGAUAUGGGGGAAUUGAAUUAAAUUACACAAAAAAUUCAACGACGUCAUACACCUUUGAUUUAUGCAGUAUGAUAGACUGUGGAGGGCAAUAGUAACCUCCAUAGUAGUGUCCAUUGGUGUAUUCGUGGCCAUCCUGGUCACUUGUGGAUGUUGUUGUAUCCCCUGUCUCAGAUCCCUGUGUAACAGGCUGAUAGUGUCAGCAAUAGAGGAAAAAGAGAAUAAUCCGCCCCCAUAUAGCAUGCCCCUAUUAGGCCUACAGAACCUGGAUGAGGAGGAAGAAGAAAAUGUGUGACCUCUUUCAGAGGUCAAGAGAGGGAAUUGUGGGAUUUGAUUUUGUUUUAUUAAUCGUGCUGCUUAUAAUCUUAAUUAAUGUGUAUUGUUACAACAAUGUUUUCUGUGAUGACCACAAGAAAGUUGUCUGUGUGUGUGGAAAGUUACCAAGGAGGGGGUGGCUGAUAUGUGUGUGGGAGCCAGGGGGGCUAUAGAAAAAGCCCUGGAGGGAAAACACACAGAACAGAUGGUUUCAAUAAACAAGUUGUUUGCUUUAUAAUUAUGUUAUAUUUAGAGAAAGUGAAAAGUAGUAUGUUUAACUAAUGAAUGCAUUUAACCAAUUCAUGAACAAUGGAGUAUUGUUGUGUUGUUGAAUAAUUAUGUUUUAUAUAUUUACUGCUUACAUUUCAUGAUGAUUGCCAAACGUGUUAAAGUUACAAAGAUGUCCAAAUAAGGACUGUGGAAAUUGAUUUUGUUCCAUUUUAUAUUUCUUUAAUUAAUCAUUUUAUUCUACAAACACUGUGUGUUUCAUAUAUGCAUUGAGCUAUUAAUGAGGUGUUUGAGUUUGAGAGUGAAAAGCUACCAGCUUGGGUGUGUGUGUAAAAAUGCAAGAAGAAUUAACUAGGAAUGUAUGUCUGGAAAUUGUCAAAGAUAAGAAAGAGACCAGAGUGGGAAAAGUAAACAGAUAACCAUGUAUUAACCAAUGCUUUAAUAUUCAUAGGAUAAAAUAUGCAAUAUAUUUCUUACUUAAUCAGUAUUAAUCAUUGAAUAAUUGAUGUAAUAAAUAUAAGAUGUUGUCUUUGAUAAAUGUGUAUUAACCAAUGAAAUGAAGGUUGCAUACAGAGUGGCCUAGUGGGGGGAUGGCGGCUCAACUUGGAAGAACAGAAUCUCCUGCGCUUGUUCUUUGUGUGUGUGUUUUCUUCCCUAACAGAUGUUUUUUUUUUUUGAAUAAUGAUUAAAGUGUUUUGCUUAGAAGUAGUAUUGCAGUAAAAGAUGUAAUAUGUGUUUAUCUAUCUAAAGAAGUUAAUGUGUGCCUUAUUCAUAUAACCAAUUUUACGAAUAAUGAAAUGAUGUCAUGAUAUUGAAAUGUGUUUUACAUAAUAAUCACUUUCAUCUUACAGCUUAUGUUUUUAUGAACAAAUGAAUGUUUCAUUAAUGAUUUGUUUUUAAGAAAGCAUUAUAAUAUGCUAUCUGAAGUCAAUCAUAUGUGAAGUGGAGGAGUACUGGGGAGAAGGUGACGGGCUGCAUGGCCCUCAGGGAUGAGCGGAGAAAAGUUUGUUUUUUCUUUGUAUGUGUGUGUCUAUCUCCUGCAGACUAAAACUGGGUGUGGUAAUGGAGUCAGAUGUACGAGGGGAAUGGCCUUUGUGGGUGGAGAUUCUAAGAAGAAGAUCGACGUCACAUACUUUAUAAAUAACUGUUUUCUCCAAAUGCUGGCUGUUAGUCGACUGCCUAUUGUGGCCUUGAGACUGCCCAGCGCUGUAAAACUUUUUCAUAUCUGAUCAAUAAAUAGUUUAAUUUUAA